UACAGAGGGUGCGAGCGUUGUCCGGAAUCACUGGGCGUAAAGGGCGCGUAGGCGGCCUGCUAAGUAGAGGGUGAAAUCCUGCGGCUCAACCGCAGGGCUGCCUUCUAAACUGUCAGGCUGGAGCACGGUAGAGGCAGAUGGAAUUCCCGGUGUAGCGGUGGAAUGCGUAGAGAUCGGGAAGAACACCAGUGGCGAAGGCGGUCUGCUGGGCCGUUGCUGACGCUGAGGCGCGAAAGCGUGGGGAGCAAACAGG
rnacentral:rRNA from 1 species